rnacentral:lncRNA from 10 species
UAGAUUCCAGCAUGAUCACAAACAAAACAUCUGACAACUCAAAAAAGUAUCUCCAUGUGUUUCCACACAUGGACCAAUUUGGACUGGAAUGAAAAGUGUGAGCUACCACAAACAGUUCCUCUUCAGAUUCUCUUGGUUCCCGUCCCGGUUUACCUGGGCAUGAUUUGAGCCAUCUUUGAACCACAGAGGAAUGCUUGAGUGCAAAAGAUUUCUCAAGACCUAUUCAGCCAUGCAAUUGCUUGCAGUAAGUGUGAAAGGAUUAAGUUUUUCGUAGCAGCAGAUGGGAAAUGAUCUCUCUAUGUACUUUAUUUUUUCUGUGUUAAAACCUCUAUAUUAUGGGACACCGCCAUUAAAAAUGGAUAUUCAAUUUAAUAUAUGCGUGUAUGGAACUGGAUAUUUUUUGAAUUUAUGUUUGUUCAUUGAUUUAAAUGUGUCAACCUCUUUAGUGGGAGGUUGAGUGUGAAAAUGCUUUACAAUUUGUUAGAUUUUUGCUUGGUUUCUCACAUCUAAAUGAAGUAUAAUAUAUGAGAAAUAUGGAAAAGUAAGUUUGCAAUAUGACACCAAUUUGGUUAAUGAGAAUAAAUUAAAGUUGAAAGGCAAUCAAUUAAAAAAAUUAGCAUUAAUCACAGAAAUGCAACAUUGUAAAGCAAUGGUAAGGGGCUGAAUUUACAACAGGAUGCAUCUGAAGCAAAAUCAAACAGCUUUAAAAUAUGGAAUUAAAGUGUAUAUGAUCUUGUGCUUCAUAAUUUUAUAUAUAUAGGUAAUUUAAAAUAAAAAUAUAUAUAUAUAAAUAGGGAAAAAACUCCUUGAUAUUGGUCUUGGCAGUGAUAUCUUAAAUAUCACACUAAAAGUUCAGGCUACAAAAACAAUAAAUGGGACUAUAUCAAAGUAAAACAAAUAACAAAACAAAACAAAAAGCUUCUGAAGAGCAAAGAAACAAUCAUAACAAAAAAGAGAAUCCAUGGAUCGGAAGAAUAUAUUUGGAAACCAUACAUCUGAUAAAAGAUUAAUAAGCAAAAUUUAUUUUAAAAAACAUACAUGUGAUAAGGGGUUAAUAUGCAAAAUUUAUACAAACACACAUACAACUCAACAGCAAGAAAACAUAUGGCCUAAUUGUAAAAUGGGCAACAGACCUAAAUAAACACUUCUCUGAAGAAGAAAUAAAAAUGGCCACAGGUAUAUAAAAAGGAUCUCAACAUCAUUCAUUAUCAGGGAAAUGCAAACCAAAGCCACUAUGAUAAAUUGGCUCACACAUGUUAAAAUGGCCACUAUGAAGACAAAAAGAUAACAAGUGUUGGUGAAGGUAUGAAGAAAAGGGAAUUCUUGUACACUGUUGGUCUGACUAUUUUGGAAAGCAAUGUGGAGGUUCCUAAAUAAAUUAAAAAUAUAAUUACCAUAUCACCUAGCAAUCUUUCUUCUGGGUAUAUGGCAGUCCCCUCUUUUUCAUUGUUUCACUUUCUGUGGUUUCAGUUUCCUGCGAUUAACAGGGGUCUAAAAUUGUUAAAUGGAAUAUUUGGGGAAUAAACCACUCACAAAGUUUAAAAUUGGGCACUGUUCUGAAUAGCAUGAUAAAAUCUCAUGCCAUUCUGCUUUGUACCAUCCAGGACAUGAAUCAUACCUUUAUCUAGUGUAUCCACACUGUAUAUGCUCCCUGCCUCUUAGUCAUUUCAUAGCUGUCUUGGUAAUUAGAUCAACUGUCACAUUAUGGCAGUGCUUAUGUUCAAGUAAUUAUUAUUUUAUGUAGUGGUGGCCCCAGUGUGCAAGAACAGUAAUACUGGCAAUUCAGAUACGCCAAAGAGAAGCCAUAAUGAACUUCCUGUAAGUGAAAAGGUGAAAAUUCUUAACUUUCUAAGAAAAAAAAAAAAAAUAUAUAUAUAUAUAUACCACAUUUGCUAAGAUCUAUGGUAAGAGCAAGUCUUCUAUCCUUGAAAUUGUGAACAGUAUAUUGCUACAAUUAUUCUAUUAUUAGCUAUUGUUUUUAAUCUCUUACUGUGCCUAAUUUAUAAAUUAAACUUUUAUCAUAGAUAUAUAUGAAUAGAAAAAUCAUCAUCUAUAUAUCAUAUAUAUAUAUAUAUAUAUAUAUAUAGGGGUUCAGUACUAUUCACAGGUUCAGGUACCUGGUGGGGUAUUGGUGUUAUAGCCUCUGAGAGUAAGGAGAGAAUACCAUGUACUCAAAGUAAUAAAAUCAUCACCUCAUAAAGAUGUCUGCAUUCUCAUAUUCGUUGCAGUAUUAUUCAUGAUAGCCAAGAUAUAGAAACAAUCUAGGUGUCUAUUGAUGAACAAAUGGGUAAAGAAACUUGGUAUGUAUAGAGAGAGUGGGAAAUAAUUCAGCCAUAAAAAAAGGAGAUCCUUCCUUUUGCUAUGUCAUGGAUGGACCUAGAGGACAUAUGCUAAGUGACAAAAGCCAGAAACAGAUAAAUGUUAAAAAAUUCAUGAUAUCACUUAUAUGUGGAAUCUAAAAAAAAAUGUCAACUAUACAUAAAUAGAGAAUAAGAAAGUGGUUACCAGUGUCAAGAUGUGGAGGAAGAGAAGGAAUUAGGGAGAUGUAGAUCAAAAGAUGCGAAAUAGAAGUCAUGUAGGAUGGACAAGUCUAAUAAAUAGUGUGCAACAUGAGGGCUAUGUUUAAUAAUAGUGUAUUGUAUUCAACAUUUUUAUUAAAUUAGUAGAUAAUAGCUGCUCUGCCUCAGAGGAAAAAGAUGAGUAUAUGAGAUGAUAUGUUAAUUUGUUUCACUGUAGAAACCGUUUUAUUAUAUAUGUAUCUCAAAGCAUUGUGUUGCAUAAUAAAAUUGAUAAAGCUAUAUAUGUUUGGUCUUUACCCUCUUCCUUGGCAAUCAGCUUUCACAAUUUUGGAGAUCUCUGAAGUGAUGUGUCUUUUUAAUAAAUGAUGGCUUGGGGCUUCUGGAUAAACUCAGGAUGGAGGCUGGUUGCCAGAGAAACCAACCAUGUGAUUAAGAGUUGGGGCUUUCAGUUCCACCCCUCAACCCCUGGGGAGAGGAGAGGUGUUGAAAGUUGAGUUUAUCAUCAACUCAACUUCUUACCCUGUGUUGUUUCUCUGGGCUAACAAUCACUGCCUCCUUACCUACCAAAUCAAUCUUCCUAACCUAGCUCAGAAUCAUAUCUUAGGGCAAUUCUACUCUGUCACUCCUACCAGACAGCUGAUUAACCAAGCCCUCCUGUGUGGUGCCUUUGUAUCUUGUACCUAUUUCCAUGAUGUACUUUUUACUGUAUUAUAAUUAUUUGUAUUAUAUGCUUUGAGGGCAGAACCUUUAUCAUAUUUAUCUCUGAGCUCUCUAACAUGUAGCAGAAUGCAUGAUAAAUUAUAAGUAUUCAAUAACUUGGUGAAAUUUAAUUAUACAUUUUGUUAACUAGUAGUAUAUAAGGAGGCAAAAGAGAAAAAUUCUCCAACAUAGGUCAAUGAUAGGGUUUUUUUGUUUGUUUGUUUUGACCAUACUAUACAUGAAGCUGAAUAAAGCUCAUGCAAAAACACUUGUUUUCAUUUUUCUAAAAAUACAUUAUUUUGUAGAAAGGAAAUAAAAGAAAGAUAACUGUUUUAGUCUGUUGUCUGCUGCUAUAACACAAUACCUGAGAUGGGGUAAUUUAUAAACCAUAGAAAUUUAUGGUUCUGGAAGCUGAGAAGUCCAAGAGCAUGGCACUAGCGUUGAGCCAGAGCCUUUGUGCUGAGUUAUCUCAUGCAGAAGGCAGAAGGGCAAGUGGGCACGUGAGACAGAAAGAAAAAAAAAAAGGGAAUCAAAAUCUCAUGAUAGCUUACCCACUCCUGAGGUAACAACAUUAAUUUAUGUAUGAGAACAGAGUGAAUCACCUUUUAAAUACCUCACAACGCUUAAUACCACCCCAACGACAAUUAAAUUUUAACAAGAGUUUUGGAGGCUAUGUUAUAAUUAUAGCAAUGACCAUUUGUUGAGACAACUGUGAUUAUAAUACUAUGUUCCAAGCAUGGUAUGGGUACCUGACAUAGACUGAUAAUUUUCACUAUAAUCUUGCUGUGUAGAAGGUUGGAUGGGCCUCAGUUUAUAAAUGUGGAAACUGAGGAUCAGAGAUAUAGUUCAUCACAGACUGAUAAUUUUCACUACAAUCUUGCUGUGUAGAAGGUUGGAUGGGCCUCAAUUUGUAAAUGUGGAAACUGAGGAUCAGAGAUAUAUUUGUUCAUGGUUACAUUGAAGUGAUCUAAUCUGUCAAUAUUUGCCUUUUGUCCUGAUAAUGACUUUACUGUGUCUGUGCCAUACUUUUUAUUUUUUAUUUUUAUUUUUUGAGACAAUGUCUCACUCUGCCACCCAGGCUGGAGUCCAAUGGCAUGAUCAUGGCUCACUACAGCCUUGACCUCUUGACCUCCCCAGACUCAAGCAAUCCUCCCAUCUCAGCCUCCUGAGUAGCUAGGACUACAGACACACACCACCACUUGACUAAUUUUUGUAUUUUUUUGUAGAGAUGUGGUUUUACCAUGUUGUCCAGCGUGGUCUUGAACUCCUGAGAUUAGCAAUCUGCUAGGCUCAGACUCCCAAAGUGCUGGUAUUACAGGCGUGAGCCACCAUACCCAGCCCCUGUGCCGUACAUUUUGAAAAUAAAGGUUUCUGUAAGCUGAGACAAGUUUAAUUUGAAAUACAUAGUUUUAAAAAGGGUAUAAUGAAAUAAUUAUAAAUUUUAAACAUUCAAAUAAACUAAUUUUAGCUUUUACCUAUAUAUAUAUUCUUUGAUAAAAAUAAGAUCAUAUCAUAAUGUAUUUUGUGGCUGUGUUUUUCGCACAGUAUUAUAUUGUGAAUGUAUUUCCAUGCCAAUAAGAAUUCUGUGUUUUCAUUUUUAAUGUCUGGUGGAUCUUCAUUUAUUCAGUGUAUCUCCUACUGCUGAACAUUAACUAUUUUUUGAGAAUUUGUUAUUUACAACAUUGUUAUAACAACCUCUGUAAUUCUCUGUAUGCAUCUUGUACAAAUAAUCAUUCUAUUGAGCUACGUUUCUAAAAGGAGGAUUGUGGUUUUGUGCAUGCCCUAAGAUAUUUAUAUGCCUGUAUUAUGUUUCUGUGGCUGCUAUAGAUUAUAAAUUCCUCAAGGAAUGAUGCUUUCUAGUUUCUUUCUAUACCUUGGCUAUGCAUGGUAUUUUGUCUUUAUAAUGAUUGCACUCUAUUAAAUAUCUUAUUUCCUAAAUAUUUAGUAGCUUAGGAAAAAGUUAUGGGGAGGGAAAAAAUUAAAGAUAAUGGUUUUAUUCCAAAAAUUAUAAGAUACUGUUUUCUUUGUUUGGUCAUAGGUCUGUUCAUCUGGUCUUAUUUGCUUUUCCAUUGAAACCUUUACAUGGAAUUUUUGCUGUUGAGAAAUAAAAUUUAGUUUAAAAAAUAA